GAUGAACGCUGGCGGCGUGCCUAAUACAUGCAAGUCGAGCGAACGGACGAGAAGCUUGCUUCCCUGCUGUUAGCGGCGGACGGGUGAGUAAGACGUGGAUAACCUACCUAUAAGACUGGGAUAACUUCGGGAAACCGUAGCUAAUACCGGAUAAUAUUUUGUACCGCAUGGUUCAAAAGUGAAAGACGGUCUUGCUGUCACUUAUAGAUGGAUCCGCGCUGCAUUAGCUAGUUGGUAAGGUAACGGCUUACCAAGGCAACGAUGCAUAGCCGACCUGAGAGGGUGAUCGGCCACACUGGAACUGAGACACGGUCCAGACUCCUACGGGAGGCAGCAGUAGGGAAUCUUCCGCAAUGGGCGAAAGCCUGACGGAGCAACGCCGCGUGAGUGAUGAAGGUCUUCGGAUCGUAAAACUCUGUUAUUAGGGAAGAACAUAUGUGUAAGUAACUGUGCACAUCUUGACGGUACCUAAUCAGAAAGCCACGGCUAACUACGUG
rnacentral:rRNA from 1 species